rnacentral:misc_RNA from 2 species
CCCAACUAUCCCUAUUAAUCAUUACGGUGAUCCUAGAAACCAACAAAAUAGAACCAUGCGUCCUAUUUCAUUAUUCCAUGCUAAUGUAUUCAGGCAAUAGCCUGCUUUAAGCACUCUAAUUUUUUCAAGGUAACAGUCCUGCUUCCCCAACGCACCAAAUUAAUGGCAUGCUGGUUAUUCAGAAGGUAGGAAUCCAUCACGCCAGUACAGACCCAAAAGCCCGACCAACGGAUAAAUCCCGAAAUUCAACUACGAGCUUUUUAACUGCAACAACUUUAAUAUACGCUAUUGGAGCUGGAAUUACCGCGGCUGCUGGCACCAGACUUGCCCUCCAA